UACAUGUGGGGCAAGCGUUGUUCGGAAUUACUGGGCAUAAAGGGUGCGUAGGCGGUUUGUUAAGUCACUGGUGAAAGUUUUCGGCCCAACCGGAAAAUUGCCUGUGAUACUGGCGAACUUGAGUGCGUGAGGGGUGGGGGGAACGAGCAGUGUAGCGGUGAAAUGCGUAGAUAUUGCUCGGAAGGCCGGAGCCGAAGGGGCCCCACUGGUACGUAACUGACGCUGAGGCACGAAAGCGUGGGGAGCAGACAGG
rnacentral:rRNA from 1 species